rnacentral:rRNA from 1 species
GCAUAUCAAUAAGCGGAGGAAAAGAAACCAACAGGGAUUGCCCCAGUAACGGCGAGUGAAGCGGCAACAGCUCAAAUUUGAAAUCUGGCCCCCCCGCGGGCCCGAGUUGUAAUUUGCAGAGGAUGCUUUUGGCGCGGCGCCUUCCGAGUGCCCUGGAACGGGACGCCAUAGAGGGUGAGAGCCCCGUCUGGUCGGACGCCCAGCCUCUGUAAAGCUCCUUCGACGAGUCGAGUAGUUUGGGAAUGCUGCUCUAAACGGGAGGUAUAUGUCUUCUAAAGCUAAAUACUGGCCAGAGACCGAUAGCGCACAAGUAGAGUGAUCGAAAGAUGAAAAGCACUUUGAAAAGAGGGUUAAACAGUACGUGAAAUUGUUGAAAGGGAAGCGCUUGUGACCAGACUCGGGCGCGGCGAAUCACCCGGCGUUCUCGCCGGUGCACUUCGACGCGCCCGGGCCAGCAUCAGCUCGCCGCGGGGGACAAAGGCGCCGGGAACGUGGCUCCCCAGGGAGUGUUAUAGCCCGGCGCGCAACGCCCCGCGGCGGACUGAGGUUCGCGCGUCCGCAAGGAUGCUGGCGUAAUGGUCACCAGUGACCCGUCUUGAAACACGGACCAAGGAGUCGUCCUCGUAUGCGAGUGUUCGGGUGUCAAACCCCUACGCGCAAUGAAAGUGAACGCGGGUGAGAGCCUCGCGGCGCAUCAUCGACCGAUCCCGAUGUUCUCGGAUGGAUUUGAGUAGGAGCAUACGGGGCCGGACCCGAAAGAAGGUGAACUAUGCCUGUGUAGGGUGAAGCCAGAGGAAACUCUGGUGGAGGCUCGCAGCGGUUCUGACGUGCAAAUCGAUCGUCAAACAUGGGCAUGGGGGCGAAAGACUAAUCGAACCUUCUAGUAGCUGGUUUCCGCCGA